rnacentral:rRNA from 1 species
AACGAACGCUGGCGGCAUGCCUAACACAUUCAAGUCGAACGAGACCUUCGGGUCUAGUGGCGCACGGGUGCGUAACGCGUGGGAACCUGCCCGUAGGUUCGGAAUAACUCCCCGAAAGGGGUGCUAAUACCGGAUAAUGUCUUCGGACCAAGGAUUUAUCGCCUUUGGAUGGGCCCGCGUUGGAUUAGCUAGUUGGUAGGGUAAAAGCCUACCAAGGCGACGAUCCAUAGCUGGUCUGAGAGGAUGAUCAGCCACACUGGGACUGAGACACGGCCCAGACUCCUACGGGAGGCAGCAGUGGGGAAUAUUGGACAAGGGGCGAAAGCCUGAUCCGGCAAUGCCGCGUGAGUGAUGAAGGCCUUAGGGUUGUAAAGCUCUUUUACCCGGGAUGAUAAUGACAGUACCGGGAGAAUAAGCUCCGGCUAACUCCGUG